rnacentral:rRNA from 1 species
GUGCGCGRCCCUUUGGCGAGCAAACMRAGGCGCAWUGAAAGUGAAGGCACGGYCGCCGUGCUGAGGKGARAGCCGUCCUCGAUGGCACAUCAUCGACCGAUCCCAUCCGYUCCCUCGUGGKGCGGCGGGAUUCGAGUAARAGUGUACCKGUUGCGACCCGAAAGAUGGUGAACUAUGCCUGAAUAGGGUGAAGCCARAGGAAACUCUGGUGGAGGCCCGUAGCGAUUCUGACGUGCAAAUCGAUCGUCAAAUUUGGGUAUAGGGGCGAAAGACUAAUCGAACCAUCUAGUAGCUGGUUCCCUCCGAAGUUUCCCUUAGGAUAGCUGUAGCCCGAAGCAGUUUUAUCAGGUAAAGCGAAUGAUUAGAGGUAUCGGGGAARAAACUUCCUCGACCUAUUCUCAAACUUUAAAUAGGUAARAAGUCCGACUUGCUUGAUUUGAAGCCGGACACAGAAUGCUGGGUUACUAGUGGGCCAUUUUUGGUAAGCAGAACUGGCGAUGCGGGAUGAACCGAACGCCGAGUUAAGGUGCCAAAGUCGACGCUCAUCAGAUCCCACAAAAGGUGUUGGUUGAUAUAGACAGCAGGACGGUGGCCAUGGAAGUCGGAAUCCGCUAAG